CCUGAAUUUAGGGUUCACCCUAAAUCCCAUGACUAGUGCACUUAGAAUUGAGACACAGAGAAAAGAAGGCCAUAUGGAGAUGAGCAGAGAUUGGAAUGAUGAAUCUACAAGCCAAGGAACACCAAGGAUGGCGGGCAGCCACCAGAAGCUAGGAGAGAGGCAUAGGAUGGACUGUCCCUCAGAGCCUCCAGAAGAAACCAACCCUGCUGACACCUCGAUUUCAGACUACAUGCUUCCAAAACUCUGCUGCCCUGUUUUCCUGGGAACCUGGCCUGGAUAGCACUCCUAGGCUCAAUUCUCCACCCCCUCCUUCCAGCACACAGUAAAGAGGCAAGACGUGGAACAGAUGUCCUGUGAAUCAGGAGGGCCCACGGGCUGGGAGCAGCUUCCUACUCAAGAUUUAGCCUCUCUUCUGUUUGAAUGCAGCCGGAUCUGUUCCCCUGCAUCACUGAGGGGACUUCUUGGUCUCAGAGGAGGAUUCAGAGUUUCUCAAUCACCUGCCUGGGAAUGGAAGAGAGCUGGGGGACGAGGGCAGAGCUGGGGAUGUGAGCACUGACCUCUCAGCCCUGGCAGCAGUGGUAGCUGCUGUUGCAAUGAGCCUUCGCCAUGACCCGGUCCUGGGGGAGCAUCUGCAGAGCGGUGGUUGUCUUGAAAUAGGCCAUGGGAAAGUCCAAGAGAAGCCACGGCUCUUGAAAACCAUCCCAGAAUCCCACUGGAAUGCUUUGCCAGAGGACACUGAGCUCGAAAGGUCUUGGGUUUUAAGCUAUUUUAUUCAUUUUUAUUUUUUGGCUGGACUUUUUUAAUUGGAAAUUCAGAACACUAAAGCUAUCCCAGGGCAUUAGUUCCAAGCAUGCCACAUGGCUCCCCUGUGGCUGGUCCCUAGAGGACCUGUGUUCAGGCUCCUCUGCACUGCACUGCAAAUGUGCUUAGCCCCCAAGACAGUGGCUAAAAGAGAGCCAAGAGCAGGGAAGCAAAGACUGAGACCAAAACUCAAAUCCUUGCCUCUAGGCCCCAAAUCUUCGCCCCAUGGCCAGGGAAAUGUAAGCCACUGGGGGGCAAGCCUUUUGCCUUAUUCACUUCUGAAUCCCCAGCACCCAGCACAGCCCUGAACACAUAGCAGGUCCUCAGUAAGUACUUGACUGACUAAAUGAAUGAAUUGCCAGGCUAUACAAAAGAGAAUUUCCAAGCAGAGUGACCUCACCCAGACACAGGGGAUCUCAUCCUAGAUUGUGAUGGCAGAGGUGAUGAGAAGGCAAGAGUUGGCAAGCUGCAGCCCACGAGCCAAAUCCUGUUUGUGUACAGCCCACAAGGUGUUUCCAGCUGUGGCAAGGGUGUUUGGAGGAAUUUAAAUGCAAUGGCAUGUCUUCUGGCAGCUGUGGUUGCCCCGGCAACCUCUAACCUUUACAGACGGUCUUGGAUACCAAGUGCCCUUGUGACAGGCUUCUUAGGAAACAAAUUUCCUCAGAACUCAUUCCCCCGAGGACCCAUACCUCUUGAAGAACAGGCUUCCUAAACUUCAACUGAAAGGCAAAACUUGAAAUCCCCAUUUACAAAAAUAGCACAAACCCUACCAAGUCUUUUUACCUCAUCAACCCACAACGCUAUGGGCAAUGACAAUUUAGAAUUUAAAUUUCACAAGUGAAAAAAAUUGUGCUCCAAGUGAGAGCCAAGAACGGGAGACAGAGAUCAAGUGGACCAGCAAACGGAAGGAGCGUAUUUGGGAUGACGGAGUCGUGGUGAGAAUGGAUAAGAUGACGUACGAGAAAACACCUGGUAUGGUGCCUGGAACAUGCUUUUGGAAGGAUGUGUGCAGCAGUGUGGAGGAGUGUAGCCCGGACGAGCGAGCACACAUAUUUGGAAACAGAGACCUGUGCUUCACUGCAAUCCCUCCACUUAUGAGCCGUGUUGCCUUGGGCAAGUUCCUGAACCUUUCUUUGUGGCCAGCUCCUCAUCUAUCAAGUCACAGCACUUACCUCCUGAGAUCAUUGUGAGAAUCUAAUGAGCUAACGUACCUGAAGAGCUUGGUGUAGAUGAGCAUGGCCACCUGGGAGCCAUGUACUAAAGAUGGCAGAAUCUCAAGGUGGAAAGAUCCUGGAUCCCUCUGCCACUUGGAGAAAAAUGGCCUGCGAAUCUGGAAAACACAUUUUACACUUUUUUGUGAACAACAAAUAAACUUCUGCC
ensembl:lncRNA